UUUGUGUCCUGCAGUUGGGUUUGUGAGUCUGUCCUCGGGUGAAAGGGGCCACGUGGCCGGGAAGUCCCGCUCUUCCUAGAGACUUGCGUCAGCACGACCUCCCCCACUUCUCGUGCCCCACAUCCCCAUCCCACUGCAGAGAAGACGCCCCAGCAGCAACUUGUGUGAUCUUCUGUCCUCUCGUGAUCUACAUACAAAAUACUAUCGGUUGCCAGUUGUCCUACUCAGCUUGGACUGCACACAGAGCCCCGUGGACUGGGCAGCUGGGGCCACCGGAACCCAUUCCUUACAACUGCAGAGGCUGGGAAGACCAGGAUCAAGGAACGCGUAUCACUGGUGUUGGGGGUCAUUGACGCUGAUCUGGAGAUGCCAAGAGACUUGCUCACCAGGCUGUUGUGCCUAUUCUCCCACCGCCCCACCCCCACCUGGGGGGCCAUGGGCAGAGCUGCCCCCAGGACACCCUGCAUGGGCAGCACGGAGCUCCUGGAUCCUCCGAGAGGCCCAGAGUGAGCACCUGGCCCUGCGUGAGGUCCGUGAGCGUGGCGGAGCCCCCUGCGCUGUCAGGGGCACAGAGACCUGGUGCCCACGCGCUUCCUUUCAGCGGCCACAGUGCACCUGCUGGAGGCAUCUUGAGGGCUCUGCAGGGACACGGUCCUCGCUUCAGACAUGGUGAAUGAAGGCCAACGUUGCCCAGACGCUUGUUGUUGCCAGUGAGACUUUUCAAGCCACACACUGCCCACCUGUUCAGCCUCGCAGCCCUCGGCUUUCAGGUGGGCCUUUCUGGGCAAGAUGCAGGGUGACGGAGCCAGCAGACCAGGAAGCCGUGUGUCUCAGGAAGCCUUUCCCUGGAUGACUCACAGUCCCAACAGAGGCGAUCAUUAAUUAAUGUUCGUGACGAACGUCAGCUGGCUCUAAACGGAUGAGAGGAAAGGCAAUUCUCAUCCAUAAACAGGACUGCAGCCUGAAUCCCCAGGAGGAAGAUGUGUGCCCAGCUAGUGGUCUCCUAGGCCACACAGGAUGGGCAGACCACAGGAAGCGGCUCCUGUCAUGGCUGCUAGAGCACCGGGGAGGCCUCAGUCGGCGGCGAGCGUCUUCAAGGAGCCUGCACUUCACCUGAAGGACGGUGGGUGGCCAGGUCAGCGGUCAGUGGGGGGCAGACACGUGGGGUGGCCAGACGGGGCUCUAGCAGCCCUGCUCUGUUCUAACCCAGACUUCCCCACUGAGUCUGGGUUCACUCAGCCCCUCCAGCCCCUCCGGGUGGGGCUCCAGGAGGCACCUCAGGACACCCCCAGGGUCCCCAUGGGCAGGCUGCCCCUCUCCAGGUGACCUCGGCUGCCCUGAGUACUUCUGGUCCUGCUGCACCGGCUGGGCCUCCUGUCUGGCGUGUGGGCACAGAUGCAGGAGGCCAGCCUCCAUGCCAGCCCAGAGGCGUGUCAUCGUGUGGAGUGCUGUUGCAGCAGCGUCCCCUCUGUGCCGUUAGGAGGGGAGAGUGAGGUAGCUCCCUGGGGCAGGCCUGCGCCUUCCCCUCACUGAGUCCAGGGCAGGUCCAAGGCAGCUGGCCUGGCCUCUCUCCUCCUACUUGGCCCACCUGUACCUGCCCAAGGCGGGUGCCUCUGUGAGCCGGCCACACUUCUGACCUCCCAGGGCUGUCUCCCUGAGGACUAUCCCCCGCAGUGCU